CCUACGGGUGGCAGCAGUGAGGAAUAUUGGUCAAUGGGCGGGAGCCUGAACCAGCCAAGCCGCGUGAAGGAAGAAGGCGCCAGGCGUCGUAAACUUCUUUUGUCGGGGAACAAAGGGUGCCACGCGUGGCGUUGUGAGUGUACCCGAAGCAAAAGCAUCGGCUAACUCCGUGCCAGCGGCCGCGGUACUACGGAGGAUGCGAGCGUUAUCCGGAUUUAUUGGGUUUAAAGGGUGCGUAGGCGGUCCGGAAAGUCAGCGGGAAAUGCCCGUGGCUCAACCCCGGCGGGCCGUUGAAACUGUCAGACUAGAGACGGCGAGAGGGGGGCGGAAUGCGCGGUGUAGCGGUGAAAGGAAUAGAUAUCGCGCAGAAGUCCGAUUGCGAAGGCAGCGUCCCGGCGCCGGACUGACGCUGAGGUACGAAAGCGUGGGUAUCGAACAGGAUUAGAUACCCGAGUAGUC
rnacentral:rRNA from 1 species